rnacentral:rRNA from 1 species
GCAUAUCAAUAAGCGGAGGAAAAGAAACCAACAGGGAUUGCCUCAGUAACGGCGAGUGAAGCGGCAACAGCUCAAAUUUGAAAUCUGGCCCCCAGGGUCCGAGUUGUAAUUUGUAGAGGAUGCUUUUGGUGAGGUGCCUUCCGAGUUCCCUGGAACGGGACGCCAUAGAGGGUGAGAGCCCCGUCUGGUUGGACACCGAGCCUCUGUAAAGCUCCUUCGACGAGUCGAGUAGUUUGGGAAUGCUGCUCUAAAUGGGAGGUAUAUGUCUUCUAAAGCUAAAUAUUGGCCAGAGACCGAUAGCGCACAAGUAGAGUGAUCGAAAGAUGAAAAGCACUUUGAAAAGAGGGUUAAAAAGUACGUGAAAUUGUUGAAAGGGAAGCGCUCAUGACCAGACUUGGGCUUGGCGAAUCAUCCAGCGUUCUCGCUGGUGCACUUCGCCUCGUUCAGGCCAGCAUCAGUUUGUCCCGGGGGAUAAAAGCUUCGGGAACGUGGCUGCUUCGGCAGUGUUAUAGCCCGCUGCAUAAUACCCUGGGGUGGACUGAGGUUCGCGCUCCGCAAGGAUGCUGGCGUAAUGGUCAUCAGCGACCCGUCUUGAAACACGGACCAAGGAGUCGUCUUCGUAUGCGAGUGUUCGGGUGUCAAACCCCUACGCGUAAUGAAAGUGAACGCAGGUGAGAGCUUCGGCGCAUCAUCGACCGAUCCUGAUGUUCUCGGAUGGAUUUGAGUAAGAGCAUACGGGGCCGGACCCGAAAGAAGGUGAACUAUGCCUGUAUAGGGUGAAGCCAGAGGAAACUCUGGUGGAGGCUCGCAGCGGUUCUGACGUGCAAAUCGAUCGUCAAAUAUGGGCAUGGGGGCGAAAGACUAAUCGA